UACGGAGGGUGCAAGCGUUAAUCGGAAUUACUGGGCGUAAAGCGCACGCAGGCGGUCUGUCAAGUCGGAUGUGAAAUCCCCGGGCUCAACCUGGGAACUGCAUCCGAAACUGGCAGGCUUGAGUCUCGUAGAGGGGGGUAGAAUUCCAGGUGUAGCGGUGAAAUGCGUAGAGAUCUGGAGGAAUACCGGUGGCGAAGGCGGCCCCCUGGACGAAGACUGACGCUCAGGUGCGAAAGCGUGGGGAGCAAA
rnacentral:rRNA from 1 species